rnacentral:rRNA from 1 species
CCCUUAGAUGUUCUGGGCUGCGCGCGUGUUACAAUCGGGAGUACAACAAGAUUGCAAAUCCUAGUGGAUGAGUGGUUCUUCGAAAUUUUCUGAAGACUGGGAUAGUUGAUUGAAAUUAUUCAACUCAAACGAGGAAUUCCUUGUAAUUGUAAUUCAUUAUAUUGUAAUGAAUACGUCCCUGCCCUUUGUACACACCGCCCGUCGCUCCUACCGAUUGAACGAUCCGGUGAAUUAUUUGGAGUAGCUCUGGAAGUUGCAGAACUUCCUAUGUCACGAAAUUUUGUAAACCUUAUCGUUUAGAGGAAGGAAAAGUCGUAACA